GGAUGCGAUCAUACCAGCACUAAAGCACCGGAUCCCAUCAGAACUGCGAAGUUAAGCGUGCUUGGGUGAGAGUAGUACUAGGAUGGGUGAGCUCCGAAGUUAAGCGUGCUUGGGUGAGAGUAGUACUAGGAUCGGUGACCUCCUGGGAAGUCCUCGUGUUGCAUUCC
rnacentral:rRNA from 2 species